rnacentral:rRNA from 1 species
UACGGGGGGAGCAAGCGUUGUUCGGAUUUACUGGGCGUAAAGGGCGCGUAGGCGGUCAGCACAAGUCAGUUGUGAAAUCUCCGGGCUUAACUCGGAAAGGUCAACUGAUACUGUGCGACUAGAGUGCGGAAGGGGCAACUGGAAUUCUCGGUGUAGCGGUGAAAUGCGUAGAUAUCAGGAGGAACACCGGUGGCGAGGGCAGAUCUCUGGGCCGUAACUGACGCUGAGGAGCGAAAGCAUGGGGAGCGAACAGG